AUUGAACGCUGGCGGCAGGCUUAACACAUGCAAGUCGAGCGAGCGGCGGACGGGUGAGUAAUGUCUGUGAACCUGCCUGCUGGAGGGGGAUAACUACUGGAAACGGUAGCUAAUACCGCAUACCCUCAGAUGUGCCCGGCUGGGUUUAGCUAGUAGGUGGGGUAAGGGCUCACCUAGGCGACGAUCCCUAGCUGGGCUUAGAGGAUGACCAGCCACACUAGAACUGAGCCAAGGUCCAGACUCCUACGGGAGGCGACAGAGGGGAAUAUUGCACUAUGGGCGCAGGCCUGAUGCAGCCAUGCCGAGUGUGUGAAGAAGGCCUUCGGGUUGUAAAGCACUUUCAGCGAGGAGGCGUUACUCGCAGAAGAAGCACCGGCUAACUCCGUGCCAGCAGCCGCGGUAAUUC
rnacentral:rRNA from 1 species